UUAAUUUUGCCGAGAAAAAUUCCAAUAAAGCUCCAUUAGAUUUUCGCAUUAAAUUAAUGUAAUGGAUGCUUAAAAGCCAUGCUAAUUAGGCUUUGUUAUUAACAGGAAUGUCAGGUGGAUGGGAUCUGGCCCAGAGCUGACAUUUUAUUUGGGCAACCUAUGGGAGAUGGAUUUGCCAGUGGUCGGGAGACACCACAUCAUCCGGCCCCAGCUCCGACUCCGCUCACGCCUUGGAAUGUCUUUAGUCAUUUAAGUUCAUUUGCCUGGAACUGGCAUUGUUUCUCUAGUCAUGGCUGUAACAGGUCACUCCCUUGCUCAGAAACCUUCAAUGGCUCCCUAUUUUC
rnacentral:lncRNA from 1 species